UUAUCUAGACAUAAUUAUUUAUACUCUUGGACAGUACAUUUGUGUUCUUUAACCAUAAUGAAGUUAUUAUAUUUCUUUACGUUACUGUGCUGUAUAAAUAUUUGUUUAAGUGUUAAGAAAUAUUAUUCGCGUCCGCGUCCUCAAUAUGAAAUAGCUGAGAACGAUGUCGACACCG